rnacentral:piRNA from 1 species
UGCAUGAACCUGGUAACAACGUCCUUCUGUA